rnacentral:rRNA from 1 species
AACGAACGCUGGCGGCAUGCCUAACACAUGCAAGUCGAACGAGACCUUCGGGUCUAGUGGCGCACGGGUGCGUAACGCGUGGGAACCUGCCCUUAGGUUCGGAAUAACACCCCGAAAGGGGUGCUAAUACCGGAUAAUGUAUGCGGACCAAAGAUUUAUCGCCUUUGGAUGGGCCCGCGUUGGUUUAGCUAGUUGGUAGGGUAAAAGCCUACCAAGGCGACGAUCCAUAGCUGGUCUGAGAGGAUGAUCAGCCACACUGGGACUGAGACACGGCCCAGACUCCUACGGGAGGCAGCAGUGGGGAAUAUUGGACAAUGGGCGAAAGCCUGAUCCAGCAAUGCCGCGUGAGUGAUGAAGGCCUUAGGGUUGUAAAGCUCUUUUACCCGGGAUGAUAAUGACAGUACCGGGAGAAUAAGCUCCGGCUAACUCCGUG